UUGCCCAAUGAUUAUAGCAAGACGCGUUAUUAUGAGGACUAAUGCUGGAACUCUUUCCUCCUCCUCCUUCUUUGUCCCUUCCUCUUUCACCUCACCCCUCACUUUCCUUAGGGUAUCCAGCGUCCUAUGAGCAAGACUGAGAUAUGAGGGCAA
rnacentral:snoRNA from 1 species